GACGAACGCUGGCGGCGUGCUUAACACAUGCAAGUCGAACGGAAAGGCCCUGCUUUUGUGGGGUGCUCGAGUGGCGAACGGGUGAGUAACACGUGAGUAACCUGCCCUUGACUUUGGGAUAACUUCAGGAAACUGGGGCUAAUACCGGAUAGGAGCUCCUGCUGCAUGGUGGGGGUUGGAAAGUUUCGGCGGUUGGGGAUGGACUCGCGGCUUAUCAGCUUGUUGGUGGGGUAGUGGCUUACCAAGGCUUUGACGGGUAGCCGGCCUGAGAGGGUGACCGGCCACAUUGGGACUGAGAUACGGCCCAGAGUCCUACGGGAGGCAGCAGUGGGGAAUAUUGCACAAUGGGCGGAAGCCUGAUGCAGCAACGCCGCGUGCGGGAUGACGGCCUUCGGGUAGUAAACCGCAUUCGCCUGUGACGAAGCGUGAGUGACGGUAAUGGGUAAAGAAGCACCGGCUAACUACGUG
rnacentral:rRNA from 1 species